rnacentral:rRNA from 1 species
AGCGUUGCUCGGAAUCACUGGGCGUAAAGGGUGCGUAGGCGGGUCUUUAAGUCAGGGGGGAAAUCCUGGAGCUCAACUCCAGAACUGCCUUUGAUACUGAAGAUCUUGAGUUCGGAAGAGGUGAGUGGAACUGCGAGUGUAGAGGUGAAAUUCGUAGAUAUUCGCAAGAACACCAGUGGCGAAGGCGGCUCACUGGCCCGAUACUGACGCUGAGGCACGAAAGCGUGGGGAGCAAACAGG